rnacentral:rRNA from 1 species
AGUGAACGCUGGCGGUAGGCCUAACACAUGCAAGUCGAACGGCAGCACAGUAAGAGCUUGCUCUUACGGGUGGCGAGUGGCGGACGGGUGAGGAAUACAUCGGAAUCUACUUUUUCGUGGGGGAUAACGUAGGGAAACUUACGCUAAUACCGCAUACGACCUACGGGUGAAAGCAGGGGAUCUUCGGACCUUGCGCGAUUGAAUGAGCCGAUGUCGGAUUAGCUAGUUGGCGGGGUAAAGGCCCACCAAGGCGACGAUCCGUAGCUGGUCUGAGAGGAUGAUCAGCCACACUGGAACUGAGGCACGGUCCAGACUCCUACGGGAGGCAGCAGUGGGGAAUAUUGGACAAAGGGCGCAAGCCUGAUCCAGCCAUACCUCGUGGGUGAAGAAGGCCUUCGGGUUGUAAAGCCCUUUUGUUGGGAAAGAAAAGCAGCAGGUUAAUACCCCGCUGUUCUGACGGUACCCAAAGAAUAAGCACCGGCUAACUUCGUG